rnacentral:rRNA from 1 species
UUAGAUUACCGGAGGUAAAGCACUGAAUGGGCUAGGGGCUGAGAAGUUACUGAACCCUAUCAAACUAAGAAUGCCGGAUAAUUGAUGUACAGCAGUCAGACUAUGUGAGAUAAGUCUCAUAGUCAAAAGGGAAACAGCCCAGACCCACAGCUAAGGUCCCAAAAUGGAUUUAAGUGGAAAAGGAUGUGGAAUUGCACAGACAACCAGGAUGUUGGCUUAGAAGCAGCCACUCAUUAAAAGAGUGCGUAAUAGCUCACUGGUCGAGUGACUCUGCGCCGAAAAUUCAACGGGGCUAAAAUUCAUACCGAAGCUUGGGCUUGACAGUAAUGUCAGGGGUAGGGGAGCGUCGUAUACGAGGUGAAGUCAUAGCGGAAGCGGUGGUGGAUUGUAUACGAGUGAGAAUGCCGGAAUGAGUAGCGAGAAUUAUGUGAGAAUCAUAAUGGCCGAAAGUCUAAGGUUUCCUGAGGAAGGUUCGUCCUCUCAGGGUUAGCCGGGAGCUAAGGUGAGGCGGAAACGCGUAGCCGAUGCACAUACGGUAGAAAUUCCGUAGCCUCCGAAGAUUUAAGCACAGGGACACUUUUGAAGGGCUGAGCCGGGCGUUGGUUGCCCCGGUCGAAAGGGACACGAUUGAGUGGAAGUCAGUUUGGAAAGAGGCGAGAAAAGCUGUGUGUAUAUGAAAGGAGCCCGUACCGCAAACCGACACAGGUAGACAGGAAGAAGAUUCUAAGGCCAGCGGGAGAAGGGUUGUUAAGGAACUCGGCAAGUUGACCCCGUAACUUCGGGAGAAGGGGUGCUUACGAAGGUAAGCCGCAGAGAAUAGGCCCAAGCGACUGUUUAGCAAAAACACAGCUCUAUGCUAAAUCGAAAGAUGACGUAUAUGGGGUGACACCUGCCCGGUGCUGGAAGGUUAAGAGGAGAUGUGAGAGCAUUGAAUUGAAGCCCCAGUAAACGGCGGCCGUAACUAUAACGGUCCUAAGGUAGCGAAAUUCCUUGUCAGGUAAGUUCUGACCCGCACGAAUGGUGUAACGAUUUGGGCACUGUCUCAACAACCCACCCGGCGAAAUUGUAGUACCGGUGAAGAUGCCGGUUACCCGCGACUAGACGGAAAGACCCCAUGGAGCUUCACUGCAGCUUAAUAUUGGAUUUCGGUAUUUCAUGUACAGGAUAGGUGGGAGACUGGGAAAUACAGGCGUCAGCUUGUAUGGAGUCAUUGUUGGGAUACCACUCUUGAGGUGCUGGAAUUCUAACCUGUGGCCUUGAAUCAGGUCAGGGGACAUUGUUAGGCGGGCAGUUUGACUGGGGCGGUCGCCUCCUAAAAGGUAACGGAGGCGCUCAAAGGUUCGCUCAGCAUGGACGGAAACCAUGCCAGAGAGUGUAAACGCAUAAGCGAGCCUAACUGCGAGACUGACGGGUCGAGCAGUAACGAAAGUUGGAGUUAGUGAUCCGGCGGUAUAUGUGAGUGGAAAUGCCGUCGCUCAACGGAUAAAAGCUACCCUGGGGAUAACAGGCUGAUCUCCCCCAAGAGUCCACAUCGACGGGGAGGUUUGGCACCUCGAUGUCGGCUC